rnacentral:rRNA from 1 species
UACGUAGGGGGCAAGCGUUGUCCGGAAUCAUUGGGCGUAAAGAGCGUGUAGGCGGCCUGAUAAGUCGGCUGUGAAAGUCAAGGGCUCAACCCUUGAAUGCCGGCCGAUACUGUCAGGCUAGAGUCCGGAAGAGGCGAGUGGAAUUCCUGGUGUAGCGGUGAAAUGCGCAGAUAUCAGGAGGAACACCGGUGGCGAAGGCGGCUUUCUGGGCCUUACCUGACGCUGAGGAGCGAAAGCUGGGGGAGCAAACAGG